GUGAAACUGCGAGCUACUGCUCACUGAUGAUACCCCCGCCGCAAGUGGAUAAUAUUAAUAGUGUAAAAAUAUGCAAGUGUUCGGUAAACAGGAAGUUGUCGAGUGAUGAAUCUGAAAACGCAUCACACGGUAUAGCUGACUUAUAAAAAUCCUGAAACCAAAUUUCAGAAAUCCUUGUAUUGUAGUUCCUGAGAAAAAUGUGACGAAAAUUUUUAACUUGGUUAUCAUGUGUAAAAUCAUACAAGUGUUCGGUAAACAGGAAGUAGUGGAGUGAUGAAUCUGAAAACGCAUCACACGGUAUAGCUGACUUAUAUAAAUUCUGAAACCAAAUUUCAGAAAUCCUUGUAUUGUAGUUCCUGAGAAAAAUGUGACGAAAAUUUUCAACUUGGCUAUCAUGUGUAAAAUCAUACAAGUGUUCGGUAAACAGGAAGUUGUCGAGUGAUGAAUCUGAAAAUGCAUCACACGGUAUAGCUGACUUAUAUAAAUCCUGAAACCAAAUUUCAGAAAUCCUUGAAUUGUAGUUCCUGAGAAAAAUGUGACGAAAAUUUUCAACUUGGCUAUCAUGUGUAAAAUCAGACAAGUGUUCGGUAAACAGGAAGUUGUCAAGUGAUGAAUCUGAAAACGCAUCACACGGUAUGGCUGACAUAUAUAAAUGUUGAUACCAAAUUACAGAAAAGGUGGAUGUGUAGUUCCUGAGAAAAAUGUGACGAAAGUUUCAUGGGACGGACUGACUGACGACUGACGACUGACGGACUGAUGGACGGACUGAUGGACGGACUGACGGACGGACAGACAGAGGUAAAACAGUAUACCCCCCCUUUUUUAAAGCGGGGGUAUAAAUAUUAAGGAC
rnacentral:lncRNA from 1 species